CCCGCAKWWGUUUUGAAUCAUGGCUCAGGACGAACGCUGGCGGCGUGCCUAAUACAUGCAAGUCGAGCGGACAGAUGGGAGCUUGCUCCCUGAUGUUAGCGGCGGACGGGUGAGUAACACGUGGGUAACCUGCCUGUAAGACUGGGAUAACUCCGGGAAACCGGGGCUSYSUMKCGGAUGGUUGUUUGAACCGCAUGGUUCAAACAUAAAAGGUGGCUUCGGCUACCACUUACAGAUGGACCCGCGGCGCAUUAGCUAGUUGGUGAGGUAACGGCUCACCAAGGCAACGAUGCGUAGCCGACCUGAGAGGGUGAUCGGCCACACUGGGACUGAGACACGGCCCAGACUCCUACGGGAGGCAGCAGUAGGGAAUCUUCCGCAAUGGACGAAAGUCUGACGGAGCAACGCCGCGUGAGUGAUGAAGGUUUUCGGAUCGUAAAGCUCUGUUGUUAGGGAAGAACAAGUACCGUUCGAAUAGGGCGGUACCUUGACGGUACCUAACCAGAAAGCCACGGCUAACUACGUGCCAGCAGCCGCGGUAAUACGUAGGUGGCAAGCGUUGUCCGGAAUUAUUGGGCGUAAAGGGCUCGCAGGCGGUUUCUUAAGUCUGAUGUGAAAGCCCCCGGCUCAACCGGGGAGGGUCAUUGGAAACUGGGGAACUUGAGUGCAGAAGAGGAGAGUGGAAUUCCACGUGUAGCGGUGAAAUGCGUAGAGAUGUGGAGGAACACCAGUGGCGAAGGCGACUCUCUGGUCUGUAACUGACGCUGAGGAGCGAAAGCGUGGGGAGCGAACAGGAUUAGAUACCCUGGUAGUCCACGCCGUAAACGAUGAGWGCUAAGUGUUAGGGGGUUUCCGCCCCUUAGUGCUGCAGCUAACGCAUUAAGGCCACYCCCCCCCC
rnacentral:rRNA from 1 species